rnacentral:rRNA from 1 species
UACGGGGGGAGCAAGCGUUGUUCGGAUUUACUGGGCGUAAAGGGCGCGUAGGCGGUCAGCACAAGUCAGUUGUGAAAUCUCCGGGCUUAACUCGGAAAGGUCAACUGAUACUGUGCGACUAGAGUGCGGAAGGGGCAACUGGAAUUCUCGGUGUAGCGGUGAAAUGCGUAGAUAUCGAGAGGAACACCUGCGGCGAAGGCGGGUUGCUAGGCUGACACUGACGCUGAGAGCGCGAAAGCUAGGGGAGCGAACGGG